rnacentral:tRNA from 1 species
GGGGGUGUGGCUCAGUGGUAGAGCUCUUGCCUCCAAUGCACAAGGUCCAGGGUUCAAUCCCUUGUUCCACAA